rnacentral:tRNA from 1 species
GCUAGCGUAGCUCAACGGUAGAGCAUCCGCCUUGUAAGCGGAUGGUUGGGGGUUCGAUUCCCUUCGCUAGCUCCA